CUACGGGCGGCUCCAGUGGGGAAUAUUGCGCAAUGGGCGAAAGCCUGACGCAGCAACGCCGUGUGAGGGAUGAAGGCUUUCGGGUCGUAAACCUCUGUCAGAAGGGAAGAACGGGUAUUGGUCUAAUAGGCCUUUAUUUUGACGGUACCUUCAGAGGAAGCACCGGCUAACUCCAUGCCAGCAGCCGCGGUAAUACGGAGGGUGCAAGCGUUAUUCGGAAUUACUGGGCGUAAAGCGCACGUAGGCCGCUUUGUAAGUCAGGGGUGAAAUCCCACGGCUCAACCGUGGAACUGCCUUUGAAACUGCAGAGCUUGAAUCCUGGAGAGGGUGGCGGAAUUCCUGGUGUAGGAGUGAAAUCCGUAGAUAUCAGGAGGAACACCGGUGGCGAAGGCGGCCACCUGGACAGGUAUUGACGCUGAGGUGCGAAAGUGUGGGGAGCAAACAGGAUUAGAUACCCUUGUAGUC
rnacentral:rRNA from 1 species